rnacentral:rRNA from 1 species
UACAGAGGGGGCAAGCGUUGUUCGGAAUUCCUGGGCGUAAAGGGCGCGUAGGCGGCCUUCUAAGUCGAACGUGAAAUCCCCGGGCUCAACCCGGGAACUGCGUCCGAUACUGGAAGGCUUGAAUCCGGGAGAGGGAUGUGGAAUUCCAGGUGUAGCGGUGAAAUGCGUAGAUAUCUGGAGGAACACCGGUGGCGAAGGCGACAUCCUGGACCGGUAUUGACGCUGAGGCGCGAAAGCCAGGGGAGCAAACGGG